UCCUACACCUUCGGUUGUAUCCUAUCCUUGCUACUUUUGUUAUUUGUUUGGUUCUUCAACUUGUUUUCUUUCCUGCAUACCUUUUGAUCCGUUUUUGUGCAUCUUUCAUUCUAGUAUUAUGUUUUUAGCAUCCAUCGAUUUUCACUUUCCUUUUUGAUCGGAUUUCCCAUUUAAUUGCAUUUAAUUUUCUUGGCUUGCACUUCAAGUUUUUCCAUAUUUAAAAAAAA
rnacentral:lncRNA from 1 species